rnacentral:rRNA from 1 species
AGUUAGUUGACUCGGCUCAGGAUGAACGCUGGCGGCGUGCUUAACACAUGCAAGUCGAACGCUGAAGCUACCAGCUUGCUGGUGGUGGAUGAGUGGCGAACGGGUGAGUAACACGUGAGUAACCUGCCCUUGACUCUGGGAUAAGCCUGGGAAACUGGGUCUAAUACUGGAUACGACCAUUGGCCGCAUGGCCGGGUGGUGGAAAGAUUUUUGGUUGGGGAUGGACUCGCGGCCUAUCAGCUUGUUGGUGAGGUAGUGGCUCACCAAGGCGACGACGGGUAGCCGGCCUGAGAGGGUGACCGGCCACACUGGGACUGAGACACGGCCCAGACUCCUACGGGAGGCAGCAGUGGGGAAUAUUGCACAAUGGGCGCAAGCCUGAUGCAGCGACGCCGCGUGAGGGAUGACGGCCUUCGGGUUGUAAACCUCUUUCAGUUGGGAAGAAGCCUUUAGGGGUGACGGUACUAGCAGAAGAAGCGCCGACUAACUACGUG